CCUCCUCCCGUCCAAGUCUGUGGAGAGCUUUUUACUGGCGUCAGUGGCAACAGGAUCAGAGUAGAGUCUUAAGGCUCUUCCCCUGGAGCUUCGAGGAGUUUAAUGGAAUAACAUCUAAGUUAUAAUUAAUUGGCUUCUGCUUCUCCUGCAGGAAAGAGUUAAUGAAGGCAAAGCUUGUCUGGCCAAGGGGCUGGUACAGCUCCAGUAGAGCUAUGACUCACAGAUUGAAACUCCUGCCAAAGCACGGAGCAGGCUCCUCAUCCUCUGCUCCUCCUAUCCUGACAAGAAUAGUGUGAAUGAGUCCAGCAUCAUGGGAGGAAAGGGCAUGCAGCUGCAGGGUGAGAACCUCUGGUGUUUGGCACUGCCGUGUGUCCCGGACCCACAGCUCACGGAAGGCAGCUCAUCCUCUUCUCAAAGUGAUUCGUGCCUUGGGGAGGAGUCUUGUUGACCUGGGGGGAUGCAGCAAUGUCUUUGUUGGUUUGCCUUGAGGACAAAGCACUCCUAACCCCAGGGUGGGUUAAAGCCCCUGCAGUACAUGCGGAUUUCCUGAGUCCACUGGGAUUUGUCCAGUGAGUGAGGACAUAACAUUGCACACUCACUUCACAAGGUGUUAGUAGACCUGUCAUUGUGCAGGGUAACUCCAGAACAGCUUUCCAGUCUGUACCAGUGUGAAGAGGAGGCUGGUGCUGUUCAACCCCAGUAAAACUGGAGCCCCUCUUGCUCCAGUGCAUGCAUUCUCCUGCUGGCAAUGCAGCGUCAAGCAUGGCCUCCUAUGUGUAUCACACACAGAAGCUGAACCUAGACCAGGAGGGGAGUGGUGGGGGAACUGGAAUUCACAUUUCCAGUGGAAAACUGGUGGGGAAGAUUCCUCCAUCCCUUUGAGACCGGCUUGCAGCCAUGAUGCCCUGACACAACACAGCCCCUUGUCACAGAGCAAUCCCAUGCAACAGCAACCCUGAGCAUCCCCAUUCCCUGGACCCGCUCAGGGGAGCACAGCACGUGCUGCAUCCCUGCAGGGAUUCAGGCUCCGCUUCCCUACGUGCCGAGCUUGCCUCGUUACUUCAGUCCUCCCACCAGCCUCGGAUCCAGCUGCGUUAGGCAGGUUUUGAUGCUGUCACAAUCACACAGAAUGAAUCACAUCGAACAUUGCCCAUGGGGUUGUUUAUUCCUUGAAGAGGGAAUGGACUGCAUGCCAAUAUUCCUGGGAAGGCAUAAUGAAGGAAUUAGCCUUUGCUAGGAAUCCUGGAUGCCCUCCUGCAGGGAUUUGCUGGAUGGCUCAGCUCUGGAAAAAUAAUGAUACAUAGAACACAAGUCAUUUUUAAAUGGAAUGUCAUCCUUACAUGGACAUCUCUUAAACCUUUCCUUAAGGCUUACGUAGGGGCAGCACUGCUUCUACAUCCUGCACCUUGUUAAAGCAGAGGUAAUUUUGCCACCUGGCUCUCACUUGUGGAGUUGGAGUUGCUGAGGAAGGUGUUAAAUGGGAAUUUC
rnacentral:lncRNA from 14 species